rnacentral:rRNA from 1 species
UACCAUGCUGAAUAUACCGGUUCUCGUUAGAUCACCGAAGUCAAGCAUCAUUGGGCGCGGUCAGUACUUGGGUGGGUAACCACCUGGGAACACCUCGUGCCGUU